ACAAGGACUUCGGUUCUUGUUCUAGCGGCGGACGGGUGAGUAACGCGUGAGCAAUCUGUCCCUCACAGGGGGAUAACACUUGGAAACGACUGCUAAUACCGCAUAAUGUAUUCUGACCGCAUGAUCGGAAUACCAAAGAUUUAUUGCUGAAAGAUGGCCUCGCGUCUGAUUAGCUAGUUGGUGAGGUAACGGCCCACCAAGGCGACGAUCAGUAGCCGGACUGAGAGGUUGAACGGCCACAUUGGGACUGAGAUACGGCCCAGACUCC
rnacentral:rRNA from 1 species